ACCCCCCAGGGAAGGGCAUGGCAUGACAUGACGGGGCCCUCUGUAGUUGCACUGCCAUCAUUAGUUUGCGUAUCGUACGUACCGCGGUCGAGAGUGACAAGUGUCAACGGCCUAAACAAAUAACCUUUGACUAUUGGCACAGCGUAGCCAGAAUGAAAUUCUUUUCCGCACAAGUGAACACCCCAGUCUUGUACUUUCCGUGAAAAAACAAAAAUAAGCCGUGUGAAACUGAACAAACAACCUGCAGGCCUGUAGCAGGUGUGAUCGGGGCACCAUGAUGGGGCCCCAAGCCCACAUAUAAGUCUUCAACCAAAGUUGGGAGGCUCUGAUCAGAAGGACGCUAGCACCUGCAAAGCACUGUGAAGAAGAAAGAAGCAGCCAUGGCCCAACUUCAGUGUUUCCUGCUCGUUCUGGCAGUCAUCUUCUGCCUCCUGAGUACCACUUCUGCGGCAGCGGUGCACAGCUGGCUUGACAUAUUGCUGGGCUGCGUGUCGUCGGAGGACUUCUGGGCCUGCAUGAAGGCAACUGGUGCUCUUCCAGGAAAAUAAAGGGUUCAGUAAAAAAUAAAGGGUUCAGUAAACAAAAA